AUUGAAGUAGAUUAGAGUCAACGAUUGAAAUCGAUUUUUCAGUUAGUUAUAUAGAUAUAUAGAAUUACGUACACUAGAUAUACAAUACAAUAAGGAAAUAAAUUAUCACCUGCAUUAAAGCUGUUACUGUUGGUGUUAAAAAGUCUUAUGUUAAAACUCCUUGUGCUCAUCGGUAUGGGAUCGUCGCUGACCACAAGCGGACCGUGAGUUCGUGGAACGUAGACAGAUUUCAAUGUACACAUGCGAGCACACAGCCAGUCGUCUCUGCCAGCCACUCUUCAAAAAAUAAUCACUGCAGUCGCUUUAUAUAUGAUAGUAUAGUAUAUCACAAGUUUUCACUCUAGAACUUCAAGCCUUGCUGAUUGCUGAGACGGUAUACAGCAAACACGUGAGGACAGCGAACAAAGACCUAUGUUCGCUCGUUCGCGAGUAUAGUAUAGAGAGAGUAGCCGGCAGAGUGUAACAAAUAGAACGUUUUUCGGACCCGUUGUAUCUUGCACGCCUGCGAUUGGCUGAGAGACACGUGACGAGCUGGUUGCCGCCGACUCGCGCCGAAUUUUGCCGGCUUCAGUCGUUCAGUAGUUAUAGCUUCGCACAACCACAGUCGCUUGUUACGACAUGGCAACCUCGUGUAUACUUCGUAGAAUCUCGCAUUGUACAGACGGUUGGUGUUGUUGCAUUCGCUCGUUCGCGAGUAUAGUAUAGAGACUACGUGUAGAGAAGGCAGCCGGCAGAGUGAAAUAAACAGGACGUUUUUCGGACGCGUUGCAUCUUGCACGCCUGCGACUGGCUGUGAGAUACGUGACCAGCUGAAUUCCGCCGACUCGCGCCGAAUUUUGCCGUCUUCAGUCGUUCAGUACGCUACAGCUUCGCUCAGCCACAUUCGGCUUGUUUUGACCUGGCCACCUCGUGUAUACUUACUUCGUGGAAUCUCGUAUUGUACAGACGGUUGGUGUUUCGAGAAGGACGUCCAGAACUUACUUGUGAAUGCUUUCAAUUCUUUUUCGAAGGUUAUAUGUAAGUUGCAAAAUGACAUUAAAAGAUCAAAGCAAAUGGUACGUUAUCGAGUUCGCCUCGAACAACGAGGAUGAAAAUGAAGAAGCAGAAUCAGAAAUUGUACCUGAUUUUUGGCUGAGUGGGGAUGGAAAAUAUGUGUUUUAGCCUCCUACUUCCAUGAAAGCUAGUCAGGUGAUAAAAGCAAUUGCUAGUAGGAGACAGUCAUCGGGAAAGUGGUGCCGUUUUGACGUACAAAGAGUCUUUUGGGAUGCAGCGGCCACGUCGUAUGCCGAAGCUACUUCCAAGGCAAAGUUGGCUUUGAAAUACUCUGAUAUAGAAGAGCAGUACCAAUUACUUGAAGCCAAAUCAGCUCGAAAGAAUCGCACAGGAAAACGUAUUACAUCUUCUGACAGUUCUGACGACGAUGCGGAGGGAAGCAAAACAUUGAGCAAAAAAAUUAAAAAAAAAAUCAUUUAUCCAAAAUACGUACUGUUCCGGAGGCAUCCAUGUCCAAUGUUGCAAUGGAAAGCAAACACAAAGCUACUAGUGUCAAUGAUUCUGGAGAUAAAGUUCAACCAAAUGACUCUAAAUUGCUUGAUGAUGCAAUGGUAAAUGAGAAGGACUAGAUGUUUUCGUUUAGAAACACAGAUAUUUUCAAACCAUUGGAAAAAAAAGCACACAAAUUUCAGAUCAAAUACACUGAAAAUAAAGAUAAUUAUGACGAUAAGGAAACCUCUGCUACAAGCUAUAAUACAGAAAAAACACCAACUGAGAAAAUAAGCAGACAACAAACAGGUUUAUUUUUAAACUCAUCAAGAAUGAUGAUAAAUCAAUCCAUUGACAUUAACAAGAAAAUUAGGAAACAAAAAGAUAUUACUGAUGAUGCUGAAAAGUUUGAGUUAGCUUCAGAGCAGCACGAGUUUGAUUAUGCAGAAGUAGAAAAUGGGAUGGAUCAGAGCAAUCACGUCGAUAAAAAUGGAGACAAACAUGACAUUGUCGGUCAGUUACAAGCUGAAAAAAACAAAAGCUCACCAAGAAGACCUUGUCAUCCCAAGCACAAGUAGAGAAGAAGAACCCCAAAAGAGUAAAAAGAGCAAGAAAAGUCGAAUGUCACAGGAAGAAAAACAAAAUAUGGAACCAGUGGAAAAAUUAGAUUAUCUAAUUGCGCUAAAUGAAGAGAUACUUAGUUAACGUUGCGGCCUUUCUGCAACAUCAAGUCAAUCAACAAUAGGCAUUUCAUCUGAGGAUAUGAUAAAGCUCCAAGAUAAUUUAUUGUGCGACUCGGAAACUAAAUUGAUGAAUUGGAAUUGCCUUAUUACGUCAGAAGAGGAAUUUUUUGAUAAGUUAAGAUCCUAUUUUCGAACUUUGAAAACAGGUGAACCUAAAGAUUUUGUUCGAGCAGUUUUAAGAAAAUGUGUCGACGACAAUGUUGGUGUUCUUUUCAGUGGAAAGGGACAAGGAAAAAAGAAAAAUUUUAAAGAAUUACCAGUGUACGAUUUACUGUUACGUAAGUCAAUCAUUAAAAAAUUGUUUGUUUAAUUAUUUUCCGAAACAUACCGGAAAAGGAAAGGGGAAAGGAAAGAGGACAGAAAAACAGCGAAAUCACGAAGAAUCUGAAGAUGCAGGAAGCAGCAGCGAAGAACAUUAAAAUGUUACAAUUUUUUUUUUGUACAUUUUGGAUAUAUUUUUUGUGCUUUUUAAGAUAUGUAUUUUUUAGUAAGCGUUGAAAUACUUGUAGUCUAAGAAACAGUUGGGUUAUGCUUUGUCAUAGUAUGUAAAAUUCUAUUCAAGGAUUUUUUUUCCUUUUUUUAUAAAGUGCGCACUUAUUACAAUGAUCCACCGUAACAGUUGUAAUUGCUU